rnacentral:rRNA from 1 species
AAAUUGAAGAGUUUGAUCAUGGCUCAGAUUGAACGCUGGCGGCAGGCCUAACACAUGCAAGUCGAGCGGAAACGAGUUAUCUGAACCUUCGGGGAACGAUAACGGCGUCGAGCGGCGGACGGGUGAGUAAUGCCUAGGAAAUUGCCCUGAUGUGGGGGAUAACCAUUGGAAACGAUGGCUCAAACCCCAAGACACCUACGGGCCAAAGAGGGGGACCUUCGGGCCUCGCGCGAGCGCACAUGCCAACGUGGGCGUACAUAGUCGGGGAGGUAAGGG